rnacentral:rRNA from 1 species
GACAGAGGGUGCAAACGUUGCUCGGAUUUACUGGGCGUAAAGCGCGUGUAGGCGGGCGACUAAGUCGGAUGUGAAAUCCCUGGGCUCAACCUAGGAACUGCAUUCGAAACUGGUCACCUAGAGUGAUGGAGAGGAAAGCGGAAUUCCCGGUGUAGAGGUGAAAUUCGUAGAUAUCGGGAGGAACACCGAUGGCGAAGGCGGCGAUCUGGGUCGAUACUGACGCUGAGGUGCGAAAGCGUGGGGAGCAAACAGG